CUUUGACCUCAAAUCAAGUAGGACUACCCGCUGAACUUAAGCAUAUCAAUAAGCGGAGGA
rnacentral:rRNA from 1 species